GACGAACGCUGGCGGCGUGCUUAACACAUGCAAGUCGAACGGAACGGCCCUCCUGGCUGGGUACUCGAGAGGCGAACGGGUGAGUAACACGUGGGUGAUCUGCGCUGCACUUAGGUGUACGCCUGGGGGACUGGGUCUAAGACCGCAGAUGCGCCUACCGCAGUAUGACAGGUGGAGAGAUCUCUCGGUGUAGGAUAAGCUCGCGGCACAUCAGCGUGUUGGUGGGGUAAUGGCCUACGAAGGCGGAGGCGGCUAGCCGGCCUGAGAGGGUGGACGGCAACAGUGGGACUGGGACACGGACCAGACUCCUACGGCAGGCAGCAGUAGGGGAUAGUGAUAAAUGGGCGCAAGCCUGAUGCAGCGGCGCCGCGUGGGGGAUGACGGCCUACGGGUUGUGAACGCCUUUCGCUAGGGACGAAGCUGUUUGUGACGGUACCUAGAGAAGAAGCACCGGCUAACUACGUG
rnacentral:rRNA from 1 species